rnacentral:pre_miRNA from 15 species
CCAUGUUAUGGCCAUUUGUUUGAUCCAAAUUUUGAAAUGAGUAAUGAAUGAUUACUCAUUUCAAGAUUUGGAUCAAACAAAUGGCCAUAACAUGGG